ensembl:lncRNA
UUUACCAAGUGGGUGGAGGCAAUACCCAUUAGGGUCAGUAAGGGAAAGAAGAGUACGUGCUUAAAUCUAAAUUCCCUUCUGUGAACCAUUAAAGGUGCUUGGAACCAAAAAUAGAUUUUUGUUUUGUAUGAUACCCAUCAAGGACGAGACUGGCGAGGCCACCUCCAAGACGACGGUGGACAUCAACACCCACGGUAAUCUUGAGUGACCGAGGUUUGGUGACUGGACCAACGAGACCCUCAAGACCGCCAUGGGCAAGUCCCUUGAUUGGUACCAGGAAGGAUGUGAGAACAACCUGAAGAUCCCUGAAACCCCAUCUGAUGUGGUGGAAGUUUUUGGACCAUCGACUGGCCGAGCCCCCCAGGAGGUAUCCCAUCCACCAGAACCAGUGAGUUCGGAUCAGUUUGGUUUGCUGUGCUCUGAGUCGGAGUGGGACCAGUUAGGCUAUAUCUUCCAAAAGUGUUGAAGUACAUAUCUCCCAUUUGUAACACUGCACCAAUCCAUGACAUGUUCUCAGUGUAACCUGUGUGUUUGCUUGUUUGUGUCUGUCUCCUACCUUG